rnacentral:rRNA from 1 species
AAGGAAUAUUGGUCAAUGCCCGGAAGGGUGAACCAGCCAUGCCGCGUGCAGGAUGACGGCCCUAUGGGUUGUAAACUGCUUUUGGAUAGGAAGCAUGGAUUGUAUUGAUAUGAUUUUGACGGUACUAUCAGAAUAAGCACCGGCUAACUCCGUGCCAGCAGCCGCGGUAAUACGGAGGGUGCGAGCGUUAUCCGGAAUUACUGGGUUUAAAGGGUGCGUAGGCGGCUGUAUAAGUCGGGGGUGAAAGCAUGGAGCUUAACUGCAUAAUUGCCUUCGAUACUGUAAAGCUGGAAUUAAGUUGAGGUUGGCGGAAUGUGACAUGUAGCGGUGAAAUGCAUAGAUAUGUCAUAGAACACCGAUUGCGUAGGCAGCUGACUGAGCUUAAAUUGACGCUGAGGCACGAAAGCGUGGGGAGCGAAC